UUAUAGCAGUAAUACUACUAUAAUACUAACAUGUUAUACUAGUAUAGCAGGAGAGAGGUGGUAAUACUUUAUAGCAGUAAUACUACUAUAAUACUAACAUGUUAUACUAGUAUAGCAGGAGAGAGGUGGCAAUACUUUAUAGCAGUAAUACUACUAUAAUACUAACAUAAAAUACUAGUUUAGCAGAAGAGAGGUGGUAAUACUUUAUAGCAGUAAUACUACUAUAAUACUAACAUGUUAUACUAGUAUAGCAGGAGAGAGGUGGUAAUACUUUAUAGCAGUAAUACUACUAUAAUACUAACAUAAAAUACUAGUUUAGCAGAAGAGAGGUGGUAAUACUUUAUAGCAGUUAUACUACUAUAAUACUAACAUGUUAUACUAGUAUAGCAGGAGAGAUGAGGAGAGAAUCAUCAUAAAGAUACGUAUUAAUAUAUGUAUAUUCUUGUUAUAUUAUGUAUAUUCAGUUAUAUUACAAUAAUACAGAGGAGAGGUAGUUUAGCUGAGAAGAGAUGGGAAAGAUUAACACUGCAUCUAAUUCCUCUCUCUCUCUCGCUCUGUCUCUCAUCCCCCUCUCUCUACAGAUGGCGGACACCAUUGACAUCAACUUCCAGAGCGACUUGAUGGCCAUCUUUGAAGAGAACCUUUUCUGAGAGAGAGAUUGAGAAAGGAGGAGAGGGAGAGAAAGAGAUAUGAACUCUACCUUAUCCCACCAUGGCUGGGAUUUCACACACAACACCCUCCCUCCCUCUGAUUAGAGACCCCAGACCAGGAUGUGAGCUCCAGAGACUUGAAGGAGACUGAGGUGAGGUACAGUAAUAAGGAGUAGCCCUC
rnacentral:lncRNA from 1 species